ensembl:snoRNA
CUUAAAAAUUAUAUUUGGUUUUGCUGAUGACCCACUGAGCCGUCAAGAAAGGGCAAAGGAAAAACACCGCUUUUGGGUGAGGCAGCAGCGUGUUGUGCUGCUUUGCUUCAAUCGGUGGUGUGACAGGU